rnacentral:rRNA from 1 species
UACAGAGGUCCCAAGCGUUGUUCGGAUUCACUGGGCGUAAAGGGUGCGUAGGUGGUGAGGUAAGUCGGAAGUGAAAUCUCCGAGCUCAACUCGGAAAUGGCAUUGGAAACUACCUUGCUAGAGGGUUGGAGGGGGACUGGAAUGCUUGGUGUAGCAGUGAAAUGCGUAGAUAUCAAGCGGAACACCAGUGGCGAAGGCGAGUCCCUGGACAACUCCUGACACUGAGGCACGAAAGCUAGGGGAGCAAACAGG